UACGGAGGAUGCGAGCGUUAUCCGGAUUUAUUGGGUUUAAAGGGUGCGUAGGCGGCUUUUUAAGUCAGCGGUGAAAUUUUGCAGCUUAACUGUAACAGUGCCGUUGAUACUGGGGAGCUAGGAUUUGGUUGCUGUGGGUGGAAUGUGUGGUGUAGCGGUGAAAUGCUUAGAGAUCACACAGAAUAUCGAUUGCGAAGGCAGCUUACUGGGAUGCAACUGACGCUGAGGCACGAAAGCGUGGGGAUCAAACAGGAUUA
rnacentral:rRNA from 1 species